AGUGAACGCUGGCGGUAUGCCUAACACAUGCAAGUCGAACGGCAGCACAGUAAGCGCUUGCUCUUACGGGUGGCGAGUGGCGGACGGGUGAGGAAUACAUCGGAAUCUACUUUUUCGUGGGGGAUAACGUAGGGAUACUUACGCUAAUACCGCAUACGACCUACGGGUGAAAGCAGGGGAUCUUCGGACCUUGCGCGAUUGAAUGAGCCGAUGUCGGAUUAGCUAGUUGGCGGGGUAAAGGCCCACCAAGGCGACGAUCCGUAGCUGGUCUGAGAGGAUGAUCAGCCACACUGGAACUGAGACACGGUCCAGACUCCUACGGGAGGCAGCAGUGGGGAAUAUUGGACAAUGGGCGCAAGCCUGAUCCAGCCAUACCGCGUGGGUGAAGAAGGCCUUCGGGUUGUAAAGCCCUUUUGUUGGGAAAGAAAAGCAGCAGGUUAAUACCCCGCUGUGCUGACGGUACCCAAAGAAUAAGCACCGGCUAACUUCGUG
rnacentral:rRNA from 1 species